rnacentral:rRNA from 1 species
AAGGUGAGCGAGAGAACUGUUGCCAAGGAACUCGGCAAACUGACCCCGUACGUUAGCAAUAAGGGGUGCUCGAAAGAGCCGCAGUGAAUAGGCCCUAGCAACUGUUUAACUAAAACAUAGCUCUCUGCCAAGCCGCAAGGCGAAGUAUAGGGGGUGACACCUGCCCGGUGCUGGAAGGUCAAGGGGAUUUGUCAGCGCAAGCGAAGCAUUGAACCGAAGCCCCAGUGAACGGCGGCCGUAACUAUAACGGUCCUAAGGUAGCGAAAUUCCUUGUCAGGUAAGUUCUGACCCGCACGAAAGGUGUAAUGAUUUGGGCACUGUCUCGGCAGCAGACUCGGUGAAAUCUUAGUACCUGUGAAGAUGCAGGUUACCCGCAACUAGACGGAAAGACCCCAUGGAGCUUUACUGCAGUCUGCUAUUGAGUUUCGGUUGGAUAUGCACAGGAUAGGUGGGAGACGAUGAGACGUGGAUUUCGGUCUACGAGGAGUCACUGUUGGGAUACCACUCUUAUUCAACUGGAAUUCUAACUGAUAUCCGUGAUCCGGAUACAGGACCGUGGCAGAUGGGCAGUUUGACUGGGGCGGUCGCCUCCCAAAGAGUAACGGAGGCGCACAAAGGUACUCUCAGAAUGGUUGGAAAUCAUUCAACGAGCGCAAACGCAGAAGAGUGCUUGACUGCGAGACAUACAGGUCGAGCAGGGACGAAAGUCGGUGUUAGUGAUCCGGCGGUGCAGAAUGGAAUGGCCGUCGCUUAACGGAUAAAAGCUACCCUGGGGAUAACAGGCUGAUCUCGCCCAAGAGUUCACAUCGACGGCGAGGUUUGGCACCUCGAUGUCGGCUCAUCGCAUCCUGGAGGUGAAUUCGCUUCCAAGGGUUGGGCUGUCCGCCCAUUAAAGCGGUACGCGAGCUGGGUUCAGAACGUCGUGAGACAGUUCGGUCCCUAUCUGUUGUGGGCGUUGGAAAUUUGAGGAGAGCUGCCCCUAGUACGAGAGGACCAGGGUGGACGUUCCUACGGUGCACCAGUUGUCACGCCAGUGGCACAGCUGGAUAGCUGAGAACGGACCGGAUAAACGCUGAAGGCAUCUAAGCGUGAAACCGACUCCAAGAUUAGAUUUCCCAUUGUUUCAAACAAAUAAGACCCCUUGAAGACGACGAGGUUGAUAGGUCAGGGAUGUAAGUACAGUGAUGUAUUGAGUUGACUGAUACUAAUAGGUCGAAGGUUUAUUCAC